GUUUUAUGUUACUUGAAGUGUGAUGGAAUAUUUAUAAUUUUGUUUUUAAUUUUUAAUAUUUUUUUAUUUUUGCACCUUGAAGAGCAAUGAUUGUUAGGGAUAAUGAGAACAUAGAGAGUGAGAGCGAUGAAGAUAGUGAUUCUAUGUUUCCAUUAGAUGAAGUAAAGUAUGAUGAAGAGGAGAGUGCCUUAGUCACUAUGGAAGCAUUGGAUAUGCAAGUAAAGGAUGAGGUUGGAGAAGAGAAACAAUGAGAUAGUGAUUUCCAUCUUAGAUAUAAGAAUGAAGUGCUAAGUGAUAUAGUGGUAACUAUGAUACCUAUGCAAACGCAUGAAAAUGAAGUGAGGUGUAAAAGAGCAAUUGGAGAGAAAAAUAAAAGAGUGGCAGAACACAAGUGUAAAAAGAAAUGUGUGGAAAGUGAUGGGAAAAAGGAUCAAAGAGAAGAAUUUGGAUGAACUUGAAAAAGAAGAGUGCUCAGGACAAAAGGAAAGCAAAGAGAGGGAGUGAAAAGAAAAAUGCUGAAAUUGAAAGAAGUGAGGAGAGUGAAGAAAAACAAGAAGGAGAGCUUGAAAAGAAAGAAAUUGAGGGGCAAAAAGAAAGAAGUGAAAAGGAAGUGAAGAGUAUUCUUUAUGAUAAUCAUGUGAAAAAUUAUAACUUUGACAUUCCUUUGUCUAGUGUUGUUUCUCUUGUGCAAUAUAUGGAGAUGUCAUUCAGUACAACCAAGAAAAAUAGAACAUGGUUGUUGAAGUAUCAUCUAAUAAAGGGAAUACUCUUAGCCAUAUUCUUGAAACUACAUUAUUGGGAUUUGAGUAUAUUAAAAAUCUUUAAGCAAAUGAUGAUGACUUUGUUGGUGUGUUUGUUAAAUUUGAGAAAAAUACAUUCCAAGAGACUUAUAAGAAUGAUGGAUUCUUAAUUAGAGAAAAUAGAAUUUUUGUGCCUAAAUGUUCUAUGAAUGACUUGCUUGUGCAUUUUUGUGAGAAUUUGAGACACAACAUAAAAGUAGAUGAAGAGUAGAAUUAUUUGAUGUGUGUUAAUAAUAUGUCAAGAAAAGAAGAGUUGAGCUCUUAGUUGAAGAAUUGUGUGUCUUACAUAGAAAAGAACAUAUUUGUUAGACAUGCUAUAAGUGAUAGAGAAUGGUCAAAUCCAAAAUUUGUGUCUAAUAUGAGUAAUGUCUAUAGAUUGGAUAAUUGUUAUAGAAGUUUGUAAAAGACUUUUGUGCUAAAUUUGCAAGUUUGAAUAUGAAAGUUGAGAAGCAUAAUGAAUUUGUGUGGGAAAAAGAAAAAGAGUAUGCCAUUCAUGCGUUUAAAGAAAAAACUUGUUUUAUUCCAUUAAUAAAUAUCUUGAUAAACUUUUGAGCUUAAAUGUGAUGUUUUUAGGUGUGGAUAUAAUUCUAUCAUUGAUUGUGAUGUCAUUUUAAUGGUUUGUAAUCCACUUCUUUAUUAUGAUGAAGAGAAAAUUCGAGGACCAAUUUCUUUGAAAAAGGAGGGAUAAAGCGAUUAUGGGAGCACCAAACUACAAGGAAAUUCUCCAAGAAGUGAUUCAAGUGAAGAUCUUCAAAUUUGCCAUGCAAAAGAAGAUUAAAUGAUUCAUUUUAGUGCAAGUAUGCAUGGAUGAAAUUAGUGGAGUUCAAUGUUAGACUUUCCAUUCUCUAGAGCUAAUAAAGCCCCAAAAUGAUUCCAUUUAAAAAAAGGUACAGAAUAUCCCACAACAUACCAUGAGAGACUCACAACCAAUCAUGAGACACUAAAGAGCUUCAUUUGGGCGCACCAUCAGCCAUGGGAUUCUCCUUAGGCGCACCGCUAGCCAUGAUACACAUUUGAGGCACCAACAGAGACCAUUAGGCGCAUCAUUGCCCAUGAGACGCAUGGGGAGCACACCACUGCCCAUGAGAUAGAAGAAUGGGGCAUGUUAGGCUAUGGGAUAAGCUAAUAGGCGCACAAAAGACCAUGAGAUAUGUUUGAGAGAUUAAUUGGGCAGCAAAUCACAUUGGAAGGUGUGCGAACUCAGCAUAGGCACACCAAUGUUUGUGAGAUUUGCUAGAAGACUAAUUUCUUUGAUUAUUUUGUAAUUUUUUUACAUUUAUUAGGGUUUAAUAUUGCUUAGGCAGCCACCAUUAUAAAUAUGUAUUUUUCUUCCUCUUUUAGGCAAGUUUAGAUUUCAGAGAUUAUUAUUA
rnacentral:misc_RNA from 1 species